UGAAAGUAAAAGGUCGUACAAGGUUUCGGGGAGGUGGACCUGUGGAAGGAUCACA
rnacentral:rRNA from 1 species